UCAAACUUGGUCAUUUAGAGGAAGUAAAAGUCGUAACAAGGUUUCCGUAGGUGAACCUGCGGAAGGAUCAUUAAUGAUUUUUUAAAGCAGGCCAAGCUUUUUUUUUUUGAAAAAAAAGUAAGGUUUUGCGAAUAUAUUUAAAACCCCCACUCUUUUAUAAAAAAAAUUUUCAUUCAUAUAUGGUUUAUGAAUAAAAAAAAGAUCACUUUCAACAACGGAUCUCUUGGCUCUCGCAUCGAUGAAGAACGCAGC
rnacentral:misc_RNA from 1 species